GCCAGAAAUGGUGGCGCAUGUCUGUAGUCCCAGCUACUUGGGAGGCUGAGGUGGGAGGAUCACUUGAGCCCAGGAAUUUGAGGCUGCAGUGAGCUAUGACUGCACCACUGCACUCCAGCCUGGGCCACAGAGAGAGACCCUGUCUCAA
rnacentral:SRP_RNA from 1 species